rnacentral:rRNA from 1 species
GAGUUUGAUCCUGGCUCAGAACGAACGCUGGCGGCGUGCUUAACACAUGCAAGUCAGGGAGAAAGUCUCUUCGGGGAUGAUUAAACCGGCGCACGGGUGAGUAACACGUGAGUGACCUGCCUUUUAGACUGGAACAACUUACCGAAAGGUGAGCUAAUGCCGGAUGAGUUAUAUAAGUGCAUGUUUAUAUAGGAAAAGUUGGGGAGACCUGACGCUGAAAGAUGGACUCGCGUCCCAUUAGCUAGUUGGUAGGGUAAUGGCCUACCAAGGCGACGAUGGGUAGCCGGCCUGAGAGGGUGGCCGGCCACACUGGGACUGAGACACGGCCCAGACUCCUACGGGAGGCAGCAGUGGGGAAUUUUGCGCAAUGCUCGUAAGAGUGACGCAGCGACGCCGCGUGAAUGACGAAGGCCUUCGGGUCGUAAAGUUCUUUCGACAGGGAAGAAAAUGCCUAUAAGUAACUGUGUAUGUAUUGACGGUACCUGUAUAAGCAGCCCCGGCUAACUCCGUGCCAGCAGCCGCGGUAAUACGGAGGGGGCGAGCGUUGUUCGGAGUGACUGGGCGUAAAGAGCACGUAGGCGGUGUUGUAAGUCAUUAGUCAAAGACUAGAGCUCAACUUUAGUAAGGCUAGUGAUACUAUAAUACUAGAGUAUUAGAGAGGAUUGCAGAAUUCCUGGUGUAGCGGUGAAAUGCGUAGAUAUCAGGAGGAAUACCGUUAGCGAAGGCGGCAAUCUGGCUGGAAACU